AUUGAACGCUGGCGGCAGGCCUAACACAUGCAAGUCGAGCGGUAGAGAGAAGCUUGCUUCUCUUGAGAGCGGCGGACGGGUGAGUAAUGCCUAGGAAUCUGCCUGGUAGUGGGGGAUAACGUUCGGAAACGGACGCUAAUACCGCAUACGUCCUACGGGAGAAAGCAGGGGACCUUCGGGCCUUGCGCUAUCAGAUGAGCCUAGGUCGGAUUAGCUAGUUGGUGAGGUAAUGGCUCACCAAGGCGACGAUCCGUAACUGGUCUGAGAGGAUGAUCAGUCACACUGGAACUGAGACACGGUCCAGACUCCUACGGGAGGCAGCAGUGGGGAAUAUUGGACAAUGGGCGAAAGCCUGAUCCAGCCAUGCCGCGUGUGUGAAGAAGGUCUUCGGAUUGUAAAGCACUUUAAGUUGGGAGGAAGGGUUGUAGAUUAAUACUCUGCAAUUUGACGUACCGACAG
rnacentral:rRNA from 5 species